GAUGAACGCUGGCGGCGUGCCUAAUACAUGCAAGUCGAGCGAACAGAUGAGGAGCUUGCUCCUCUGACGUUAGCGGCGGACGGGUGAGUAACACGUGGAUAACCUACCUAUAAGACUGGGAUAACUUCGGGAAACCGGAGCUAAUACCGGAUAAUAUAUUGAACCGCAUGGUUCAAUAGUGAAAGACGGUUUUGCUGUCACUUAUAGAUGGAUCCGCGCCGCAUUAGCUAGUUGGUAAGGUAACGGCUUACCAAGGCAACGAUGCGUAGCCGACCUGGGAGGGUGAUCGGCCACACUGGAACUGAGACACGGUCCAGACUCCUACGGGAGGCAGCAGUAGGGAAUCUUCCGCAAAGGGCGAAAGCCUGACGGAGCAACGCCGCGUGAGUGAUGAAGGUCUUCGGAUCGUAAAAAUCUGUUAUGAGGGAAGAACAAAUGUGUAAGUAACUAUGCACGUCUUGACGGUACCUAAUCAGAAAGCCACGGCUAACUACGUG
rnacentral:rRNA from 1 species